UACCUGAUUGAUUCUGUCAGCGCGAUAUGCUCAAGUAAAAGAUUAAGCCAUGCAUGCUUUGAUUCAUAAAUGAAAUUGCGUACGGCUCAUUAGAGCAGAUAUCACCUUUCUCGGAAUCCUGAAAAGGAUAACUGCGGAAAUUCUGGAGCUAAUACAUGCGACUAUACUCCAACGCAAGGCGGGGGUGCAAUU
rnacentral:ncRNA from 1 species